UGCGAAUUAGCUUAAAGGUUAAAGCUUUGGAAUCAUAAUCCAGAUACCAGGGUUCGACUCCCUGAUUCGCUA
rfam:Candidatus Nasuia deltocephalinicola str. NAS-ALF, complete genome.